UUGGGCGGUCAGAUUCCCUCUACAUUUGCUAACCUUGUAAACGUCCAAAUUAUGUGGGCAUCUGAUACUGCACUCACAGGGAAAAUACCAGACUUUGUUGGUAACUGGACAAAGCUUACAUCAGUGAGAUUUGAAGGGAACUCUUUUGAAGGUCCGAUACCAUCCAGUCUUGCAAAUUUAGCCUCAUUGACUUCUUUGUAAGUAGAGAUAUCUUGCUUUCCUGAUAGUAUACUCCCCACCGCCAUUUAACUCUCUCCCUUUGUUUGUGUAUUCA